rnacentral:rRNA from 1 species
ANGCUGGCGGCGUGCCUAUACAUGCAAGUCGAGCGGACAGAUGGGAGCUUGCUCCCUGAUGUUAGCGGCGGACGGGUGAGUAACACGUGGGUAACCUGCCUGUAAGACUGGGAUAACUCCGGGAAACCGGGGCUAAUACCGGAUGGUUGUNUGAACCGCAUGGUUCAGACAUAAAAGGUGGCUUCGGCUACCACUUACAGAUGGACCCGCGGCGCAUUAGCUAGUUGGUGAGGUAACGGCUCACCAAGGCGACGAUGCGUAGCCGACCUGAGAGGGUGAUCGGCCACACUGGGACUGAGACACGGCCCAGACUCCUACGGGAGGCAGCAGUAGGGAAUCUUCCGCAAUGGACGAAAGUCUGACGGAGCAACGCCGCGUGAGUGAUGAAGGUUUUCGGAUCGUAAAGCUCUGUUGUUAGGGAAGAACAAGUGCCGUUCAAAUAGGGCGGCACCUUGACGGUACCUAACCAGAAAGCCACGGCUAACUACGUGCCAGCAGCCGCGGUAAUACGUAGGUGGCAAGCGUUGUCCGGAAUUAUUGGGCGUAAAGGGCUCGCAGGCGGUUUCUUAAGUCUGAUGUGAAAGCCCCCGGCUCAACCGGGGAGGGUCAUUGGAAACUGGGGAACUUGAGUGCAGAANAGNAGAGUGGAAUUCCACGUGUAGCGGUGAAAUGCGUAGAGAUGUNG